CCUACGGGGGGCUGCAGUGGGGGAUAUUGGACAAUGGGGGAAACCCUGAUCCAGCGACGCCGCGUGAGUGAAGAAGUAUUUCGGUAUGUAAAGCUCUAUCAGCAGGGAAGAAAGAAAAUGACGGUACCUGACUAAGAAGCUCCGGCUAACUACGUGCCAGCAGCCGCGGUAAUACGUAGGGGCCAAGCGUUAUCCGGAUUUACUGGGUGUAAAGGGAGCGUAGACGGCAGCGCAAGUCUGGAGUGAAAUGCCGGAGCCCAACCCCGGAACUGCUCUGGAAACUGUGAAGCUGGAGUGCAGGAGAGGUAAGCGGAAUGCCUAGUGUAGCGGUGAAAUGCGUAGAUAUUAGGAGGAACACCGGUGGCGAAGGCGGCUUACUGGACUGUAACUGACGUUGAGGCUCGAAAGCGUGGGGAGCAAACAGGAUUAGAUACCCUUGUAGUC
rnacentral:rRNA from 1 species